GGGGGUAUAGCUCAGCUGGGAGAGCGCUUGCUUCGCAUGUAAGAGGUCAGGGGUUCGAUUCCCCUUAUCUCCACCA
rnacentral:tRNA from 1 species